UACGUAGGGUCCGAGCGUUGUCCGGAAUUACUGGGCGUAAAGAGCUCGUAGGUGGUUUGUCGCGUUGUCCGUGAAAACUCACAGCUCAACUGUGGGCGUGCGGGCGAUACGGGCAGACUGGAGUACUGCAGGGGAGACUGGAAUUCCUGGUGUAGCGGUGGAAUGCGCAGAUAUCAGGAGGAACACCGGUGGCGAAGGCGGGGUCUCUGGGCAGUAACUGACGCUGAGGAGCGAAAGCGUGGGGAGCGAACAGG
rnacentral:rRNA from 1 species